UGGCUGCAGUGAGGAAUAUUGGACAAUGGGCGCAAGCCUGAUCCAGCCAUGCCGCGUGCAGGAAGAAGCAUCUAUGGUGUGUAAACUGCUUUUGUACGGGAAGAAACACUCCUACGUGUAGGAGCUUGACGGUACCGUAAGAAUAAGGAUCGGCUAACUCCGUGCCAGCAGCCGCGGUAAUACGGAGGAUCCAAGCGUUAUCCGGAAUCAUUGGGUUUAAAGGGUCCGUAGGCGGUUUAAUAAGUCAGUGGUGAAAGCCCAUCGCUCAACGAUGGAACGGCCAUUGAUACUGUUAGACUUGAAUUACAAGGAAGUAACUAGAAUAUGUAGUGUAGCGGUGAAAUGCUUAGAUAUUACAUGGAAUACCAAUUGCGAAGGCAGGUUACUACUUGUGGAUUGACGCUGAUGGACGAAAGCGUGGGGAGCGAACAGGAUUAGAUACCCGGGUAGUC
rnacentral:rRNA from 1 species